rnacentral:rRNA from 1 species
GACGAACGCUGGCGGCGUGCUUAACACAUGCAAGUCGAACGGAGUGGCGAACGGGUGAGUAACAAGUGGGUGACCUGCCCUGCACUUCGGGAUAAGCAUGGGAAACUGGGUCUAAUACCGGAGAGUGUGGGAUGGGCCCGGGGCUUAUCAGCUUGUUGGUGGGGUAAUGGCAUACCAAGGCGGCGACGGGUAGCCGGCCUGGGAGGGUGGACGGCCACAUUGGGCCUGAGACACGGCCCAGACUCCGACGGGAGGCAGCAGUGGGGAAUAUUGUACAAUGGGCGGAAGCCUGAUGCAGCAACGCCGCGUGCGGGAUGACGGUCUUCGGGGUGUAAACCGCUUUCAGCCAUGACGCGGUAGUGGCAGAAGAAGCACCGGCUAACUACGUGCCAGCAGCCGCGGUAAUUC